rnacentral:lncRNA from 1 species
ACAAAGCUUAGAAUUAUCCGACCUACCAGAACAGGUAUAUUCAUUUACUAUUAUGAAUAGCUAAAUUCAUAAAUUCCUAACAAUCAUGAUAUGAUAAAAUAAGUUCAUGGUAGUUGCUUUAUAGUAGAAUUAUUCGAAAAAUAGCAUGUUAAGAAUUUUAUUAGCAAAGUGGAAAAGGAGAAAAUUCCUAAGAACUAUGCCAUCCUAAAGGUGAAACCGGUGAGGUAAGAAAGUCGUGAUAGGGGAGUAGCCAGAGUAUAGACUCUAUUUAAGGGAAAAGUAUCCAGAUUACCAUGUUAAUAGUGAUCGAAGAAUAUGUUAUUUAAGAAUAAUCUAGUAUAUAGUAAUCUAAAGUGAUCAUAUUUUGUUAUGUUUAUGAUUGAAGGGAAUAUUUUGAAAAAGCAUCAUAUGAAAAUGAAUACUUAUUUAUCUGAUGAAAUGGUAGAUAAAUUUAACAUACUUGUUUUAUAUGUACUUAAGGAUAUAGAAAUAGUAGAUAUAAGAAAAAUCAUAUUGAAAAAAUUAUUUGAUAGAUAUUUUAUUACUAGAAUUAAUUAUAUACCACACCUACCUAACUACUCUUAUAAAUACUUACAUACCAAACCCACACAUCAACAAAAAUAUUAGACUAUGAAAUUGAAAUUAUAAAUUGGAUAGAACAACUAUACCUAGAUAAUUACCCAGAUGGAUAUUAUUCAGACUAAAAUGUUAGAAUAUAUUAGAAAAAUUAGAGAAAACCAAAGUGACCUAUAUGAAGAAAUUAAUUAUAGAAACCGAUUCAAAGAAAUAAUGGAAAAUCUAAAAGAAAAAUUAAUAUGGAUAAAAGAAACCAUAGAAAAUUUAGAAAAAAGUACAGAUAAUAGUUUAUAAAACAUAAAAAACUCAUUAAGAUAAGAAGAAAGAGAGAUAAUUAAUAAAAUUAAUAACCUUAAUUCAGAUAUAAAUUAUAGUACAAUUAGAAUAGAAUAUUACACGAAUAUUAGUAAACAAGCAACUACUUUAGAAUAAAAUGAUAAACUAUGAGUAUUUAAAAUACUGGCGACAAGAUAUGGAAGAAAUAAGAUUAGAAGAAAUGCUUAUGAAAGGGAAUUUAAUCGAAUAUUUUAGAACAAAAGAUAUAGAAUAUUUAGAAUACCUUAAAAAUAAUAUAGAAGAAUUACAAAGACUAGGAGAAAAAACAAAAGAAUACUACAGUAAAGCAUUUAAUUAAAUACCAUUUAAUCACCCCUCAAGAUAUGAACAAUAAACUAAAAAUAAAAAUAUUUAAAGAAGUUAAGAAAUAUCCACGUACAGAUAAAAAUAGAUCCAUAAUUACAAUAGAUCUAUUAAAGUUAUCCGCACCCCUACAAUUGGUAUCAUCUCUUCUUAGGUUUUCCUUAAUGUUGAUGAAUCAUAGACUUGUAAAAGAAUUUGUUAGAUUUCUUUUUCUUAGAAAUCAUAUUUGUUAGAAGAUUAUGCUGCUAGCAGCUUGCUAAUCAGGCCAUGAAUAUUUGCCAAGAUGUCUAAAUAACUUCAAAAUAAUGGUGAUAUUUUGAUAGUUGAUGCUAUUUAAUUAUGAUUUACGUGUUUAGUACCCUCAAUGAGUGUCAUAUUUAUAGUUUUCCUUUUCUUUAUAUAUUUUUUCUGAUUAUAUAAAGUGUUCAUGUUCCUAGACGUUCAUUAGUCCCCUAUUCCUACUUAAACACCGUCGUAAGACCUUUAGGUAUGAACAUGAGUUCUAAUUGAUUUCUAAAUUUUUAGUAGAGGCCUUAAGUAGAUUUGAGAAAAAUGCUGAUUUAUUUGGAAGCUGCAUGCAAACAUGUCUUCCUGCACACACAUAUUCCCUGUAAUAUCUAUAAUAUUGGAUAAUGAAUUCCUUGAACACGAAAGGGUAUUUUUGUUAGACUUUGCGAUUAAUUGUUUUCUUCAAAAUUUCUUUUUGUUCUUGUAUAUAGUAAGUUGUGAGCAAUUGAUUGAGGUGGUUGUAUUUUAGCAUCGUGAUUAGUAGUCACCUUAGGUCGUGAUCACUUGAAUCCUUGAGAAAUUUUAUUUGAAAUUCGUUUUGUCAUUUUGUUCUUUUCUUUCCUUGUGAGAUUUUAUUUAGUGCAUAUUUUUAUGUUAAGGAGAAAUCUUAGGCAUUCUAUUUGGUUUGAUGGAGUUCAUAAGUCGCCAUGAUUUAUUUUUCGAUUUUGUUUGUUAACUUCUCUAUGUGCGUUCAAGAAUUAAAUUUCCAUUAUCUAAUUCUUGUCUUAUUUUCUUUUUGCGUAUGCAUUUGGAACAAAUGAAGUCUUAAUUCAAGACUUUUGCUAAUGAAGUCUCAAAAUGACAUUCGAUGUUACCCCUCAUCCGAACAAGGAGUCAUAUUCUAUACUCUCAAGUCUAAUUCGCUAGCAAUUUAAAGCCUCUUCCUUUCCUUCAAGCUCUAUUUUCUUUGUAUACAUAUGUCAUAUUGUCUUUCAUUACUUUAUUUUUUUUACACG